rnacentral:rRNA from 1 species
AUUGAACGCUGGCGGAAUGCUUUACACAUGCAAGUCGAACGGCAGCACGGACUUCGGUCUGGUGGCGAGUGUCGAACGGGUGAGUAAUGUAUCGGAACGUGCCCAGUCGUGUGGGAUAACGUAGUUAAAAUUACGGUAAUACCGCAUACGAUCUAUGGGUGAAAGCGGGGGAUCGCAAGACCUCGCGCGAUUGGAGCGGCCGAAAUCAGAUUAGGUAGUUGGUGGGGUAAAGGCCCACCAAGCCAACGAUCCGUAGCUGGUCUGAGAGGACGAGCAGCCACACUGGAACUGAGACACGGUCCAGACUCCUACGGGAGGCAGCAGUGGGGAAUUUUGGACAAUGGGCGAAAGCCUGAUCCAGCCAUUCCGCGUGCAGGAUGAAGGCCCUCGGGUUGUAAACUGCUUUUGUACAGAACGAAAAGGUUUCUACUAAUACUAGGAGCUCAUGACGGUACUGUAAGAAUAAGCACCGGCUAACUACGUGCCAGCAGCCGCCGUAA